rnacentral:rRNA from 1 species
AUGGGUGGUCUUGGAAAAACCACUCUGAUCAAAGAUAUUUACCAAAGUCAAGAGGUCAAUGACAUGUUUGGUAAACAUGCUUUUGUCACAGUCUUGCGACCUUUCAAGCUUGAGGAGCUCCUGAGGAGCUUAAUAUACCAGUUAGAAGCAAAGAAGAGCGCCAUGGACUUUGCGUUUGGUACCAAAGAAGAUAUUGGAUGGGUCAUGUCAGAUCAGUGUAGUGCAGCUCCGCUGGACCACGAUUUGGAGGAGAUACUUCCAAAUAGUUGCAAAACAUAG